rnacentral:rRNA from 1 species
UACGUAGGGGGGCUAGCGUUGUCCGGAUUUAUUGGGCGUAAAGAGCGUGUAGGCGGCCAGGUAGGUCUGGUGUGAAAACUCGAGGCUUAACCUCGAGAUGUCAUCGGAAACCAUCUGGCUAGAGUCCGGAAGAGGAGAGUGGAAUUCCUGGUGUAGCGGUGAAAUGCGCAGAUAUCAGGAAGAACACCAAUGGCGAAAAGCAGCUCUCUGGGACGGUACUGACGCUGAGACGCGAAAAGCGUGGGGGAGCGAACAGG